CUCUGAUAUUAUCUUUAGCUCUUCUUUCCAAAAGAGUUGGAGAAAGAAGCAGUACCUCUGUAUCACACAGAAAACCAAAUAGCCAUUUCCAAGGCCGGAAGGAAUUGUCCAGCCAGUCCCUUCUCUGCAGUGCUGCUCAAAUAGGAAAUAUUACCAUUUAAAUCACUUGACUAUUAACAACUACAUCUCGGGAAUAGAUGACAUCAUCUGGUGGACAGGAUUAGAAGCCAUGUAUCAAUAGUUAACAUUUAUUGGACACUGUUCUAAGCAUUUUACAUGUAAACACAUUUGUUCUUCACAACAACCUUACGAGGUAAGAACUAUUAUUAUUAUUAACCCA
ensembl:lincRNA